CUGCAAAACAGGUGUGAGAGAAAGUAAUACUGGCAACAAAAAGUUCUAUUCAGCAUUUGAACUAUUUCUACUACUGCUUUAAGGAGACAAUAGUUUUGGAGUAACAGUUUUGGUUUGCUUCAAAUGCUUGUGAGACCUACUAUAGUCCAUGUAAAUUUGAAUAUAUAUGCAUAUGGUAAUUUCUCUCCAAACCAGCCAACGGACAUAGCAAUGCUGUUAACAGCAGAUUAUACCGCUUAGCCAAGAGUAGUAUCAUUCUGUAUUAGUUAUUCUAAGCAGUCCCUAUAGUUAAGAUAUAUGUAAGAAGAGUAAAUUUCAUUCCAAGUAUCAUUUCACAAGAGUUUUAGUUAAUAGUGGGGUGGCCAAACUAUACACUAUUAAAAUCAAACACAUGGAAUCAAAGACCCUAACAAAGUAUAGUACCAUGUUCUACAUCAAAUUCAGAUUAAAACUCAAUCCUUGACUGCCUAUAAAGGUAAAAUCUGCAAAUGUUAAAAUCAGUAAUAUAGAUAAUAAUACAAAUAGAAACAAUAGGGAUACUUCAACAAAUGUUUAUUUCAUACCUGACACUAUGCUGAAAAUGUUUAAUUAUUACAAAACUAUGUCUAUUUUGCAAAUAAGAAAAAUGAGAUUCAGAGUCACACAAUUAGUACAUAAUGACAUCAGGGUAGGAACCUGUGUCGGUUUCAUAAAACCUAGGUUCUUUUCAGGAAAACCAAAUUAUUUUAUAUAUAGUUAAAAUAAAUUAAGCAGAAGAGAGCUCAAACCACUUUAUGUGUUAACUUAUUCACACCAAGAAACCUAAAAAAGCUAUGUUUUAAAAUUACCAUUAUUUCAUUAAGUCCAAUAUAUCAUGAUUUAAAAGAUACACCAUUUUUUUUUUUUUUUUUUUUUUUUUUUGAGACGGAGUCUUGCUGUCGCCCAGGCUGGAGUGCAGUGGCGCAAUCUCGGCUCACUGCAGGCUCCGCCCCCUGGGGUUCACGCCAUUCUCCUGCCUCAGCCUCCCGAGUAGCUGGGACUACAGGCGCCCGCCACCUCGCCCGGCUAAUUUUUUUGUAUUUUUAGUAGAGACGGGGUUUCACCGUGUUAGCCAGGAUGGUCUCGAUCUCCUGACCUCGUGAUCCGCCCGCCUCGGCCUCCCAAAGUGCUGGGAUUACAGGAGUGAGCCACCGCGCCCGGCCAAGAUACACCAUUUUUUACGCACCACUGCUGAAUAAUAAAGAAUACAGCUGGUCUUUGUCCCUGGUUCCUGUGAGGAGACUCUAAUCCUUAGCAUUUCCUGAAUAAUAGGAGUGUCUUUGUUAUUCAUGACCCCCUUGGAUCACCCCCCAGUUUAUGCUAAGAGAUGAGAAGACUCAGGACAGCGGCUGGUCACCAGAAAAGACCAACCACCAUGUGAUUAGAGGGUUGGGGCUCUGAGCCACCCUGACCUGGGUGGGGAAGCACAGGGGGCUGGAGACUGAGUUGAAUCAUGAGGUCAAAGAUUCAACCAAUUAUGCCUUCAUAAUGAUUCCCCAAUAAAAACAUUGUACUGAACACCAGUGGAGUUUCCCAGCUGAUGAACUGUUCGAUAUGGUAGGAGGGUGACAGGCCUUGAUUCCACUGGGAGAGGGUACAAAGUUCUGUAUUUGGGACUCUUCUAGACCUCACCCUAUGUGUCUCUUCAGUUGGCUGGUGCUGAUUUGCAUCAAGCUAAAACUGUAAUUACAGGAAUGUCAAGCCUCUGAGCCCAAGACUGCCUGUACACAUCCAGAUGGCCUGAGGCAACUGAAGAACCACAAGAGAAGUGAAAAUGGCCGGCUCCUGCCUUAACUGAUGACAUUACCUUGUGAAAUUCCUUCUCCUGGACAAUGAGUCUCAGAAGCUCCUCCACUGAGCAUCUUGUAACCCCCAACCCUGCCCGCAAGAGCAGGUUGACUGUAAUUUUCCACUACCUACCCAAAUCCUAUAAAACUGCCCCACCCCAUCUCCCUUUGCUGAUUCCUUUUUCCGACUCAGCCCGCCUGCACCCAUGUGAUUAAAAAGCUUUAUUGCUCACACAAAGCCUGUUUGGUG
rnacentral:lncRNA from 1 species